CUCUCUCUCUUUUGUAGUGCUGUCUGCUCAUCUCCUUUCAACUUCUAUCAGCCAUCUUUCAUCUCAGGAUCAUGUUCCAGGCACGUUCUCUCUCUCUCUUCUCUAAUCAAUUUUCUUACCAAUGAUCAUAUGAUGUUUUGUUGCUAUAACUUCUAUUACGUAGUAUUUUGCCUCUCUCUAGCUAUCAAUUUUCUUACUACGUUUUUGUUUUUUCUUUUCAUUUUUUUAGGUAACCAUGUUGUAUACUAGAAUAAGAUCAAUCCAUCAUGUAAAAGAUUGGAUCGGCUUAGGAAUAGGUACGACAAUUUUACUUUGGAAUAGUAAAUAAGUAGGUUCGUACAAUAUUUUUACUAUCUGUGAGUUCAGGUUAGAAAAUUCAAAUAAACGUUACUUAUUUUCUAUUUUGAUUAAUAUUCUAAAAUAUUUGAAAGUAAUUUAUUUAUUUUUUUAAAAAUUACAUAUGUAUAUUUCUAAUUAUAAUUAGUACUAUAACUAAUAUUAAUAUUGUAUUUUUUAUUAAGUCAAUAGAAUGUUAUAGUUCUUACUUAUAUUUAGUUUCAAAACUAAAAAAAAAAGCAAAAUAAUAUUCUAAAAUCAAAAUGAUAUUUAAGUGGGUCCGAGUAUUAAAUGAACAAUUGUGAUUGAAUUUGAAAAAUAUUUCAAUAAUAAAUAAAUUUUUAAACGGGGUGGAAAUUAAUUCAGUUAUCUAAAUAGUAGAUUCAACUAGAUAUCCAAUCCGUUGCUAACCUAUUAGGAGCUUCAAUUUUGAACUGAAUUGAAAUUAAGCGUGGGGUUCGAAGCCAACAAGUCCAAAAUAAUGUGUCAUCAUACGCACAAACAUUCCAAGGACACAUGAUGUCCUAAGUUGAUACUUGAUGGAACUAUAUCCAAGUCUCGUGAUAAUUUAAAAUAAUUUAAAUUUAUAUUACAAAUGAUACAAAUAAAAAUAUACUUGUUAAUUAGGUGAUGAUCUUAUUGAUUUUUUUCACUUACGUGAAAAAAGAGAUAUCUCGAAUUUAAAUUCUCUCGACUAUAAUUGUUUUCCUCUCUGAUGUGUAGCCUGCACCAAAUUGGCGAAAAACUAGUGGUAAAAAAAGCUCUUAUAAAUAUAACUUAUUACAUUCUUUCGCCAUUUUCUUUAUAAAAAUACUCCAUAGUCUAUGAUUAUAAAACAUGGAAGGCAAAAACAUUAGACAUUCAUAGAUUAUUUAUAGUAUGAAGCUUUUAAAUUCUAAAUUGAACAAAACUGAAUAAGAUCAAAAUAAAAAAAAAAAAAUCGAAGAAUCAAAUUUCUGAACUGAAUUUUUAAGACAAUUCUGUUCCAGAUCUUUAAACCUUCAUAUGUACUUUCAAUUUUCUCUAGAAUGGAAAUUCAAUUCAGUCCCAAAACUUUUCGAAAUGUAAACUAGACUCGAUCGAAGACAAAUCCUAUCUAGACUCAUCUCUAGCCAAGUUAUAUAUACACUAUAAUAAGCCAGCAAGUGCAUAAUGUUAACAUCUUUAAAAAGCAACAUUACCACAAAAUCUCCAGAUACUCUAUUAACACAUCUUAUUCUCUGCCUGCCUGAAGAAGCAUUGAAGAAAACAAAUUUACAAAAUAUAUAUAUAUAUAUAUAUAUAUAUAUAUCUAUUUUUUUUUUUUUUUGAGAAAAAAAUGUACAUCUCAAAUAAAUACAAUUGUGCCUCUCCUUUCGUAUAUGCGUUGAUGGUGGCUUUACAACUUUCUCAUAAUGUUCAUCAUAAAGGCAAUCCUUGCCUAUUACUAUUUAUUCUGAAUACAUUCCACCAAUCUUCUCAGCUAGUUUGGGAUUUUGGCUUAGUUGUUGUUGGUAUAUAUUUGACAUAUCUUCAGUUAUUCUUUGCCAAGUUACUAAAUGUUAUAAUCAUAAAGUGCCACAUCGUUACGAUGACAAAUCAAUAAACCCUGCAACAUUAAGGAAAAUAAUUUAUGUUCUCUUCUUGACGUCCAUGCUUGCCUCAAACAAAAGAGGGACAAAAACCAAAAUUGAGUUCCGUACCUGUAAAAAUGGGGGGUUCAUUGACAACUAGCUUAUGUGAGAUUCGACCCAAUUUUUGCUGGUCUAAGACUCUUUUGAGCCCUUCGUGCGUGGUCAAAUACAAAAAUGAAGAGACUACAUACGUAUAAUAGGCAUAACCGUAGCUUUCCUAUUAUACCACAGGUUAAGUGGACAUUGUUUCCAUCCUCUGCGCGAACUAAUAUAUCUCCCUUCAAACAGCCUGACAACAAACAUUAAACAAUAAAUAAAAAUCAUCACAUGAUCUCAUAAAGAAAGUAGUACAGGGUUGUGUAGCAAUGUGGAUACAGCUAACUACUGACUGUCCAAGAAGAUAUCAGAACUCUUCAACAAGUUUCUAACAGGAAUAUAUUAUCAGCAGUGUUUUUUAUCCUAGCCCUUUUCUAUCUUGAGCUCCCUAAACACAAAGCAUAUCAAAAUUGUUUACCAAGAAGGCAGGCAUUUCCUUCUUGGAAGAAUACUAGGGUGUUGCAGCACUGAAAUACAUGGGAUUUCAUGAAAUUCCAAGAUUUACAACAUCUAUAUCCUCUUCCUUGGCCCUACUUAAGAAUGAAAAUAAAAUCAGGAAGGGGAUGCUUAAGCAUUGGCCUUAUGGCACAUUUAUAUGUCUCCUAUGAUAGAAGCCUAGGUUUUCAAACUCAAAUAUUAUAAAUAAUUCAGCUAAAAACCAAGUAUCAUGUAGAUGCUCAAUAUUGCGCUUUAUAUUCAUCACUGUAAGCUUUCCCCAGCCCUUUCUCAUCAAUGGACUCCUGAUAUAUACGAGGGAGUGCGGCUUCGAGAAAUUCCUACUUCUCUAUCCAUUGCUGAGAUGCUUGGAUUUUCCAAAACUCCAUGGACAUACAGAAGAGAAAUGCUAUCCCCACUCGGACCAAGACAUAACUUUUACUUGUUAAAAUAGUUGGACAUAAUAGUUGUGACUUAGGAAUAAGUCCUCUUUAAGAGAUGCUUAGGACACAAUAACUCAAUUAUGCAGGAAGAAUGUAGCACCGUCUUAUCUUAACUUUAAGUUGGUUUAUCAGUCUAUGCCAGCAUGUAAAAGAAAACAAUUAACGGAAUGAUGCUUAGGACACAAUAACUCAAUUAUGCAGGAGGAAUGUAGCACCGUCUUAUCUUAACUUUAAGUUGGUUUAUCAGUCUAUGCCAGCAUGUAAAAGAAAACAAUUAACGGAAUGCAUCAAGAGGUGAUGUACUAAUCUCAGAUGUGCAAUUGAGGUUUUUUGUUUGGGAUAAUUAUUAUUUUAUCCGUAUAUUUUACCAAAAUUUACUACUUUGUCUUUGUAAUUUUUAAAAAUAGACUAUUUUACCAAUAACUUCUGCAACCAUCCAACAUUUCGGUCCUUUUUCUUUUUAAGCUUUUAACUGUUAAUUCAUACAAAAAAAAGAAGCCCCAAACAUAACCACUCUUUUUUCUCUCUGAAACCAUGAGUCUCGCUUGCUUCUUCAUACUUUGGCUCCAAAUCCUAGCAUUCAUUUCUAAAAGUUCCCUCUCCUUUCACUCCAUCUCCACCAUUGAUCCAGUUGCAAAUUUGCAAUCAUUAAACUCCAUUUACAGAGAAAGAGAGAUCAUUAACCAAAUUAAAAAGAAAGUAACAACAAUAGUUAAAACUCUUUGCAGAAAUUAGUUUUUUUUAUUAAUUUUAUCACAAUAAUGGCAGCAGAAGCAAAGGGGUUGAAGGUGAAAGCAGGGCUGAGAUUGUGGAUUUGGGGAGCUCUCGCUUUGAAGUUGCAUGUGGACCUUAAUUAGAUCAAGAGGGUGAGUAGAGCAGCUAUUAACAGUUGAAGCAAUCCCUUCAACAAAACCUUUGAUACCCAUGGCUAGUAGUUCUCUCCCUGUUUCUUUUUUUCUUCUUUAGUUUUUUGGGUUAAAAAUUUGGAAAAAAAAUGAAUAAACCAUUAUUGAGUAAAACAAAAUCUAUAAAAAAAAUCAAAAUUAUAGCCAAUUGGGUUUCAAGUGAAUGGAAACGAGAAGAUGAGAAUGGAGGCUAAAAGCUAAGUAAAAAGAGAGAGGGACUAUAGGUCUCAGAGACAUGUGUUAGAAAAAUGAGGGCAAAGAAAUAUGAUAGGAUUUGAAUUGAAGGGAUGUUUUAGGAGGAAGAGAGUUCGAGAAUAUAUAAGCGAAAGGGAGAGGAAAGUGAAAAAAAGGGAAGAAGAAUAGAACCAAGAAACCAGUAAAAUUAAUAACAUUAACAAAAUUCAUGCUCAAAUUAAAACUAAAAAUAAGUGAUUUUUUAAGAAAUAAAUUGAAAUUUGUUAAAAUUAAGUGCCUUUUAAGUAAUAAAUUAAAGUUGUGUGACCAAUAAAUAAUAUAGUGGUGAAAAUAGAAUUUGGGAGCAUUGUUGAUUCUUCAUUAUAAAUUAAUGGCUAAAAUCUCAAAAAAUGGAUAGAAAGACAUAAGUGUUGGAUGGUUUCAGAAGUUAGGAUAAAAUAGUCUAUUUUUAAAAAUAGGAAAAAAGUAGUUAGUUUUGACAAAAUAUAGGGAAAAAAUAAUUAUUAUCCCUAUUAAGCCUUUUAAUAAUGAAAUAAUAUAUAAAUUAGAGGAAGCAUAUCAUCAUUUUAUUCUUAUAACAUAUUUUAAUGUUUUAAUAAAUCUUCUAUGGUAAUCAAAUAUUAUAAACAAAAAUUUUACAAAAAAUUCAACAGAUGGGAAAGUCACCCUCUUCCCAGUAAGCUCUCUCCCUCCCUCUCCCACAAUGAAACCUCAGAAAAAGUGUUCUGGUUCUGGGAAAAACAAUCCAUCAACAACCCCCACCUACCUUCUUCCUAAAUCCAUAGAAGGUCUAAGAAACUCUUCAUCACCGCCAUUAUUUUCAUGGCAAUACCUUAUCCAGAUUCCCCCCCCCCCCCCGCCAUUAUUUUCAUGGCAAUACCUUAUCCAGAUUCAUGAUAGAGAGAAAUCAAAUCCUUUACCCACUGCAGAUAUGGACAUUGAUGCUUGUCUCCAAGUCUUUAUAUCUCAAAUGAAGUCACUGUCACCUUAACUAGACAGUAAGGAAAGGUGGCUGCAGUAGCUAUAGUCGAUAUACACGCCAAGGCAGAGGAGCUCAAGCCCAGAUAGAUGGAGCAUAUGUCCAUUGACCUUAAUGAAGGUCCUUCAAUGGUGAUUUCUUCAUGGCCAAGGGCUCCAUUAGUCCCCCAGCAGCUGCUCAACUAGAUCCACAUGGAGAGUUGGAGAUAUUCACUAAAAGGACAAAAGACUUGAAUCUGACUCCUAAUUUCGAGAUGCACAACGCUUGGAACUUUGCAUUUGGUUUUGUGGGGAAGGAGACAACAAUUGUUAUAUGAUCCCUUUGGUUUAGGUGAUAAUGCACCACUGGAUAGUGUAGUUAAGGGUUGAAGGAGGAUUUUUAAUAUUAUAUUUUUAUAAUGAAGUUAAAGUUUAAAAAACUUAAUAUAAGAAAAAUAAAAGUGAAAAAUUGGAAAAGAAUAAAUUAAUAAUAUUUUUUGUCAUAAAUUUAUAUAUUACUCCAUAAGAAGUCUCAAUUCAAAAAAAAAAAAAAAAAAAGAAUGCCCAAUUGAAUAAAAUAAAUCACAAAGAGCUCAAUUUCACAUUUCACAUAUUUACUAGAGCCUGUAUAUGCAUUUGACCAAGACCUUGACUGUGUAUGCUUACCAGGGUUUCUGUUGGGCAAAUUUGUCCAAUCGUGCGGGCUAAUCCUUGUUUUGGAUGCCUUGAUCAAGUCCUGAAGAGCUUGAUUGACCUGAAAUUUUUAAAGACAAGAAAACAUACAGUUGAGCAUACAUUGCUUCAUGUGUUGUUCCCCAAUUCAAUGAAAAUUUUGUCAAGCAUAAAGGUCAAUUCAUGGCUUCCUAAUGAAUUGAGUGUCCAAUUCUACUUAACAUCACAUGUAGCUUUUCUUGUUCUCAAUCAAAUGCAAGGUUACAAUUUUUCCAACUCAACUAAAAGACUAUUCUCAAUUAUACUAUAUUUUAACUGGCUCCAGUCAAAUUAUAAUUCUUGUAUUGCAGACUUCUCACUAUGGCAUAAUCUAAUGGCCUAUUUUAUGCAAAAUCUGUGCACAGCAGGAAUACCUCCUCAGUCCUCUCAUGGCUCACUAAAUGACCACCAUGUAGAUCUAUCAUCCUAGCAACUGGCUGCAGCUUCUCGGCAAGUCUUCUUGCAUAAUAUAUUUGAGCAAUGAUAUCAUGCCUACAAUUCAGAAAAAUUCAAGUAAUCUUAAGCAGAUAUGAGUUAUUAGGGAUUUAUUUAUACAUCACUAUAACAUAAGAUCAAAAACAUCCAAUGCAGUACAUUGAUACUUUGCAUCCAAAAUCUUUAAUCAUACAUACAUAAAUAACCCUGAAAAGUAUGAUAUUGUAACUGCAAUUUUAACAACCUUCUCUCUCUCUCUCUCUCACACACACCCACACACACAGAGACACACAUGCAAUGAUGUGAUUGAAUGAAAGAUGUGUCCAAACAUUUUUGUUUUUUAUUUUCAAUCCAUAUCUCAGUUCAUCCAUCUUGAAUUGUUUUCGAGUAGUGUCAUUUUUACAUUCUUUAUGCUGUGGAUCCAAAUGUUUGAAAACUGAAAAAUAAGAUUGCUGAUUUCAAUUUUUUAUUUUAAACAGCUAAUCAACAACGUUGGGUAAAUCAUAUCUGCAUUACAUCAUAUAGCAUAGUUUAAAUCACUAUCACUACAACAAUUAUACUUGCAGCACCAUGUCACACAAUAGGGGUUGCCAUGGCUCGCAAUGUGAUAUUCUUUUGUCGUAUAAAAGAACUGCAUAUUUGACUUGAAAAUGCAACUAAGAUGUGAACGUAAAAUGCAGAUAUUAAAAAUAUUAAUCAUAAUUUACUUGAGUUUUUUUGGGCAAGUUCAAAGCAAAAUAAAAUUAUAUAAAAAAUAUAUAAAUAUUUUGUUCCAUCUUACUGCCAAAAUUCUAGAAGCAAGUUUACAAAUAAAACAAGAACCUGAAAAUUAGUCACUUUAAAUUUGCAUUUUGCCGUAAGAAAGCUGAAGACUUAUGACUCAGGAGUUAGAUAUUGGCAAGCACAAUUAAAUGGCAUCUUGAAGUUGUAUGAGCUUUGUUAAGGAUUUGAGUGUUUAACAAUCAAACGCGCUAAGAAGUCAAAUGAACAAUAAUAUUACAGUUUUUGAAUAGGCCUUUUAAAGCUGAAUGAACUUUGCAUAUCAACUGUUAGUGUCUUAGCUAAGUAUUUUCUUUGCCUCUGUUAGAUGACAAGGUUAGGGUAAUAUGAAUUCCAUUACAUAAUGACCAUUACAUUAUUUAAGCAAUUCCUAUGACAUAUUGACUUCUUUUAAUAAGUACCUCUCUAUACUAAAAGUUACGCAAUGAAGAGAUGUAAAAUUUAUCCAUCACAACCCAUGCUUGUGUAUGCUUUCACAAGUUCUAUUUCUUUUUGUCUUUUAUUUCAUAAUUGUUUGCAUCAUUUGCAGAACAUGCAGACAUACAAAUGUUAGAUGACUAAUUUGAUAGCCACUUUGGCGGCUAAACACAUUUUUAGCCCCCCUGUACUUUCAGGUUUUUGCCAAUUUAACUCUUUUUUCAAACUUUAACCUAUUGCACCCUCAAACUCCAGGUGUGCUGAUGAAGCCCUUUUGGGCCUUUUUUGAUGAAGCGUGCAGUGACAACAAUUUUUGCACGAGUGAGCCGUUUAGCUCCUGUUAACCACCAAAAUGAUGUUGUUUCUUUGAACGCAAGAUCUUGAGCCUCCUUCACUGUCACAAUACCUGAACCCAGCUCAAACAAAUCCAUGCCCAUUUUCUUCACCAAGGUCUUCACCAACUCAACCAUAACUAAAAAAGCCAAAAAUAGCCCGACCAUAAAUAAAAAACCCAAAUUAAAUAGUUUUUUACAUCCUCUGAUAUUUCAAUAUCCAACAUUUGUUGGGUUUCCAGUAAAAUUUUGACGUCCACCCAUCGGCCGGUGAAGGACAAAUGUUACAGAAGGUAAGGUUUGGAGAAUAUAAAAUGUCCAUUGGACUCUUCGGUCAAAGUUAGCUUAGUAGCAAAAGAACCUAUUAAUGGGUAUGAGUUUGGGAGAUGAAUAGAGAUCGAUUGUUUUGAUUUGGAGUGUUUGGUUUUCAAGAAAAUGAAGAGUAACGAGAAAAUGAGAAGGAAAAAUGAUAGUACAAGAAGAAGCUCCACACUGCUUGCCUUUUCCUUUAGUCUGUUAUCAAUUACCUCUAUAAUUUCUCCUUCACCAACAUUCCUAUUAUUAAUGAAACCAUCUGAGAACCAAAAGAAUCUCCAUUAUUAACAGGUAUGAAACUUUUUCUUUAAUAAAAAAUCCCUUGUAUUGGAUCGCAUCGAGAUCCAAACUUAAAAUGGCACCUUCUUACCCGACUCACAUUCGGGUCAGCCCCACAAAAUGGAGUUUCCAGCACAGUCUACUUGAGAACUACACAUCGGUUCCUAAGGCAAUGCCCAUUGUAUCUCCACUCCUGGGUCGGGCCACUUAGCCAUAGGCAAAUUUGAAUCUAUAUUCUAUAAGCCCUGCACUGAAAUCUCAAAUCCGCAUCCAAUGCUUUGUUGGCAGCCCACCCACUUGAAAAUGACAACAAAUCAAUCAAAUAAUAAACUUGUGGGCACUGAAUCUAAAUUCACAGAGCUGGAAGCGGAGACAGACAAAGAUGGUAAAAGGUUCAGCAAGGGCGACCAAAGCGCUGAAGUUGGCAGGGGGAAAGAUGGUGGUGGAGCCAGUGGGCGCGUUCAACAAGCUGACAGAGAGGAUGAAUAUGCUGUCGGUUGAGAGACAAUAAAAGACAAUGAAUGUACACUACUGAGAAUAGCAUCGUUUUGCACUGCUGAGAAUGCCACCAACUCUAACAUAAAGCACAUCAUUUUAAUUGUGUGAGGCUAAAAGUACCAUAAGGAAAACGGCAGUAUUUUGAUGGUUAACCGGCUUUUUAACAGUUCCUUGCCCAGUGUUUGUUGUCACCUUACGCUCCAUCAAAAAAGGCCCAAAAGGGCUUCAUGCGAUACACGCCAAAGGUUCAAGUGAGUAAUAGGUUAAAAGGGUUAAAUUGGCAAAAACGUGAAAGUUCAGGGACAAAUAUGUUUUUAGCCCCACUUUGACAGUAAGAAAAAGCAAUACAGUUUUUGGCAGGGAAUCAUCAUUACCUGCCAUGUAUGACUGAUACAAGAAAUCCAGCAGAACGGAUCACCUCAAUUUCUGUUCGUGUCAUUUUAUGUGUCCAACAAGCGUUGAUUUGACCUUCAAAACCACAAUUAGACUGCAUCCCAGUUGAUGAUAUACCUUUUACAUAUUCCUGCAAGAGAUGCGCCUAAAAUUUAGGUAGGGACAUCCUUAUACA
rnacentral:lncRNA from 1 species